UCAUGGACAUUCCAAGAUUGAAAUUGUGAAUCAGAAGGCUUCCUUUUCCAGUUAUGCUACCUUUUACAAUUGGUUUCUGAAGAUAUAUAUAUAUCCAUAUAUUUAAUGCAAAAAUACUGUCUGUUUUACCAGUGUAAGAUGAGAUCAUUUACAAGUGAUUUUCUCUUCUGGAUAAGCAUUUCUCUUUUCAAAUAAAGGCAAAUAUUUCAUCUAUUCAACAACAGUGGUAAUAACAGUCAUUAUUUUCAUUACUGUUACCAUAUUGUUUUAGAAGUCAGUCUUAUUUCUUCCCUCUUAAUUCUGUCUUCUCAUCUCCUUUGUCAAGGAUAUAAAAAAUCAUUGGUUAUAUUGCAGAUAAAGCUCUAGAAUACCGUAGGUAGCUGCACUAGUGAUUACAAAAUUACAUGUGAGUUUAAUAAAACAGUAGUAAAGGGAUCUAAUAUUUUUACAUGAAUACAGUAGGGUGCUGAUGAAUCAAGUCUGUGAAGAAUUUUAUUUUUUUUUUUCCAAUAAAUGUUGAUAGUCAUCAUUACCUAUUCACCAUUUCCUGACAUAGACUAUUUUCCUGGAUUUUCUAAGCAGUCUAAUUUAAUAUAUAUAGUCACAUGCUUGCUGCUGAAUCUUAUUUUUACUGCUCAUUUUAGCUGACUCUUCAACAGAUACAGAAGUUACAGGUAUUAGGGCUGUUCUGUGUCUCAACAUGUAAAGAAUUCGUGACAUUCAUACACCAAAUAAGCUGUCAAAAUGGCAUUUAUUGGAUCACACUGAGCAUGACAACAAAGCUGCUUUCUUCCCAUCUUGUAAAUGAUCAGCAGUAGCUAAUAAACCUUGUCAACUGAAGCAAUCAACUUUCACUCAAACUGAGCUGAAGAACAAGAUUUGGCACUUAUAUGUUUCUUGACACCACUGAAGACUGGAAUAGAAAGUGUUUUCACAUUAUUUAAAUUCUGACCUUUAAGAGGAGAGAAGGAUAAAUAUACAAUAUUGUGACUUACUUAUUAAACAUCAUCUGAUUGUUCCUAAAAGUGUAUGCUCAGAAGAUUCAACUGAAGUUUUUUAGUAAAAUAACAUUAAAAAUGCAAUUACAGGAUUAAGGCAGUUUCUAAGAGUGUGUAGGAAUAAAAGGUAUAAUAUAAUUAAUCUUUCAUGACUCUGAUGGAAGACUCACUUCCAAAAUAAUUGCUCAGUGAGUAAUUCAGUGCUUAGAAUAAACGAUGGAAAAGAACAUCAGUGCAGUAAGUGAAACAAAGUAAUCAAAGGAAAGCAUUCCCAAAUAUUUACACUUGCUGAUAUGAUGUGCUUAAUUGACUGUAUUUCAGUUCUCCAGAUACCAGACAGAGGAAGAAAUAACAGAAGAAAAGGUUGUUUUCUUAAGCUCUUGUUACACAUCAGGAGGGAAAUAUUCUUACACUUCGUGUAGUACUUUGUCAGAACAAGAUCUAUUUGUAAAGUGGGAAAUGAAUUAAAUCCCUGGAAAUUCAUUCAGAGUGACUGGUGCACUGUUUCUUUGAAAUGCUAGGACAAAGAACAAAAUGUCAUGCUGUAGGUGCUGGCUAGUCUGGGGGAUGUGGAAGCUCAAGCUACAUUAUCACAGAAAUGUGAAAACUUGCAGGGAAAUAUUUUCUUCUGUUACCUUUGUUAUAGUCGGUAGGAAUUCCCAUGUUAAAAUUACAUUAGUUAUUUUCCAAGUUCUCAUGUUAUUUAUGAAUAUUUUACACCUCGAAACAAAGAUAAAAUAAUAAUAAAAAUAAUUAGAAACAAAACAAAACAAAACAAACAAACAAACAAAAACCACAAAAAUUCCAGUAAGAUCUAAGAUCCAGGUUUCAACGGUGGGUUUUGGGCAGUUAAGGAACACUGGUGUCUUCUACCAUGAAUAGAGAGCCAGUGCCUUUAUACAGUGCCUGGAUAUCCAGUCCUUGAAUGUAUUUAAGUGACAGUAGGUACAUAAAAUUCUGCGGACGUUCCGUAUAAUGACAUUUUCCCAUCAUCGUUGUUCCAAGAGAAAAUAAGUAUAAAACCUUGUGUAUUGAAGUUUAGUGACAGUAAACGUAACCCUUUCUGGCAACACUACCAUACGAAGAACGGAGUACCUGAACGUUAAAAGAUGAAUGAAUGCUCAGUUAUUUUGAAUACAAGAGUAAAAUAUGAUACUCAGAGGGCAAAAAUUUUUGCAGUUGCCCAGAUCUUCCGGUUUAAGUAGACAGCUGUUUUAAUGGGUAGUUGCUGCUAAAUAAAAUCACUCUUUCUGAAAGAGAAACAACUAACUCACAUUCUAUCAUCUCUCCAUUAGACUUCAGAACAUUUAACCAAAGUGCUUGGAAUUUGCAGAUAAUCUGAGCUCUUUCAGAUACAAAAGCCUUGCAGUGGGCCCAUUGUCAGUGAAAUUAGACAUUUCAAACUGUUCAAUGAGGGUGCUUGCCUAAAGUUACAUGGUUUCUGAAGAACAGCAACGUUGACGGAGAGAUACAAUUUACAAUGUAAUGGACUCGGGGUGCUUUUAGUUUUUAGCUCCACUCUGUGCUUCCGUGUGAGUUAAUGCCUACUUAAAUUUGUUUCACAUUUGUAAAAGAGGGUAAUGGUCUUCCAAUUUAUUAUUAUUAUUAUUAAUAUCAUUA